AGUGAAGCGGCAACAGCUCAAAUUUGAAAUCUGGCUUACCUUUUUCGUAGUCCGAGUUGUAAUUUGUAGAGGAUGCUUUUGGUGAGGUGCCUUCCGAGUUCCCUGGAACGGGACGCCAUAGAGGGUGAGAGCCCCGUACGGUUGGAUACCAAACCUCUGUAUAGCUCCUUCAACGAGUCGAGUAGUUUGGGAAUGCUGCUCUAAAUGGGAGGUAUAUCUCUUCUAAAGCUAAAUAUAGGCUAGAGACCGAUAGCGCACAAGUAGAGUGAUCGAAAGAUGAAAAGCACUUUGAAAAGAGAGUUAAACAGCACGUGAAAUUGUUGAAAGGGAAGCGCCUAUGACCAGACUUGUUUCUGGCAGUUUUGUUAGCCUUCGGGCUGAUUUACUCUGUCCCAGUACAGGCCAGCAUCAGUUUGCUGUCGGGGAGAAAGGCUCUGGGAACGUAGCUUCCCCCCUUCUGGGGGGGAGUGUUAUAGCCCUCUGCAUAAUACCCUUCGGCAGACUGAGGACCGCGCUGUUUUUCGGCAAGGAUGCUGGCGUAAUGGUCAUCAGCGACCCGUCUUGAAACACGGACCAAGGAGUCAACCUUAUGUGCGAGUGUUUGGGUGUAAAACCCCAGCGCGUAAUGAAAGUAAACGUAGGUGAGAGCUUCGGCGCAUCAUCGACCGAUUCUGAUGUUUUUUUUCGGAUGGAUUUGAGUAAGAGCACACAGGGUUGGACCCGAAAGAAGGUGAACUAUGCUUGUAUAGGGUGAAGCCAGAGGAAACUCUGGUGGAGGCUCGCAGCGGUUCUGACGUGCAAAUCGAUCGUCAAAUAUGAGCAUGGGGGCGAAAG
rnacentral:rRNA from 1 species